AACGUAGGAGACAAACGUUAUCCGGAGUUACUGGCGUGAAGGGCGUGUAGGCGGUUUGUUAAGUCUGGCGUGAAAGCUCUCGGCUAAACCGGGAGAGGUCGUUGGAUACUGGCGAACUAGAGGAUGGUAGAGGCGUGUGGUAUUCCGGGUGUAGUGGUGAAAUGCGUAGAGAUCCGGAGGAACACCAGUGGCGAAGGCGACACGCUGGGCCAUACCUGACGCUAAAGCGCGACAGCAUGGGGAGCAAACGGG
rnacentral:rRNA from 1 species